rnacentral:rRNA from 1 species
GAUGAACGCUAGCUACAGGCCUAGCACAUGCAAGUCGAGGGGAAACGAUAUUGGAAGCUUGCUUCCGAUAGGCGUCGACCGGCGCACUGGUGAGUAACGCGUAUCCAACCUGCCCACCACUUGGGGAUAACCUUGCGAAAGUCAGACUAAUACCCAAUGACGUCUCUAGAAGACAUCUGAAAGGGAUUAAAGAUUUAUCGGUGAUGGAUGGGGAUGCGGCUGAUUGGCUUGUUGGCGGUGUAACGGCCCACCAAGGCGACGAUCAGUAGGGGUUCUGAAAGGAAGGUUCCCCACAUUGGAACUAGGACACGGUCCAAAAUGCUAGGGGAGGCAGCAGAGAGUAAUAUUGGUCAAUGGACGAGGGUCUGAACCAGCCAAGUAGCGUGCAGGAUGACGGCCCUAUGGGUUGUAAACUGCUUUUAUAAGGGAAUAAAGUGAGUAUCGUGAGACUUUUUGCAUGUACCUUAUGAAUAAGGACCGGCUAAUUCCGUGCCAGCCGCCGCCGUAA